rnacentral:rRNA from 1 species
AAUGAACGUUGGCGGCGUGGAUUAGGCAUGCAAGUCGUGCGCGAAUCGUAGCAAUACGAGGAGAGCGGCGAAAGGGAGAGGAUAGCAUAGAUACCUACCCUCGGACCUGGGAUAGCUAUGGGAAACUAUAGGUAAUAUCAGAUAAUGUCUCCGGACCAAAGGUGUGAUUCCGUCCGGGGAGGGGUCUAUGUCCUAUUAGCUUGUUGGUGAGGUAACGGCUCACCAAGGCAAAGAUGGGUACGAGGCGUGAGAGCGUGUCCUCGCUCACUGGGACUGAGACACUGCCCAGACACCUACGGGUGGCUGCAGUCGAGAAUCUUCGGCAAUGGGCGCAAGCCUGACCGAGCGACGCCGCGUGUGGGAUGAAGGCCUUCGGGUUGUAAACCACUGUCAGUGCGGAGGAAAUAUAGUGGGGUUCUCCCCAUUAUCUGACCUAUGCGCAGAGGAAGGACGGGCUAAACUCGUGCCAGCAGCCGCCGUAA